AAACGUCUCAGUUCGGAUUGUAGUCUGCAACUCGACUACAUGAAGCUGGAAUCGCUAGUAAUCGCGAAUCAGAAUGUCGCGGUGAAUACGUUCCCGGGUCUUGUACACACCGCCCGUCACACCAUGGGAGUCGAUAACGCCCGAAGUCAGUGACCCAACCUUGUAGGAGGGAGUUGCCGAAGGCGGGAUGGAUAACUGGGGUGAAGUCGUAACAAGGUACC
rnacentral:rRNA from 1 species